rnacentral:rRNA from 1 species
GAUUUCUGGUUCGGUCGCACUGGCCCGCCUCUUCGGAGGUGUGUUGCCGGCUGUGGCCAGCCAUCCUUCCGGUUAACAAUCCUAGUCUUCGUUGAUGUGGGGUUGUGAUCCGGAUCUUUUACUUUGAAAAAAUUAGAGUGUUUAAAGCAGGCUUUUGCUAUGAAUACAUUAGCAUGGAAUAAUAAUCUAGGACUUCGGUUCUAUUUUGUUGGUUUCUAUAACUGAAGUAAUGAUUGAUAGGGAUAGUUGGGGGUGCUAGUAUUGGCCGGCCAGAGGUGAAAUUCUUGGAUUCGGUCAAGACUAACUUAUGCGAAAGCAUU